AUCCUAAAUUCCUAAUAUAAAAAUUUUCCUCUCUCUCACUCAAAAGACUCGGACGUCAACAAAUUCAGGCACAAAAGCUGCUUUUCAGGUGAAAGAAAACAAAAUCCGCUUUCAUUUCAUUUCAUUUCAGUCUCUUUCUUUCCGUCUCUCUUGUCACACACAUUUCUGAGUUUUAUCUGUUUCAAUUUGACCCGAUCAAAUCGAAUUCCUGCUGGACAAGUGUGAAGAAUUUUAGUGCUGAUUAUGUGUUAUAAAACAAGAUCAUAAGGAUUAUUUCAUUCUUCUAAUAGUUUAAACGGUUUGAUACUGACCUAUUUGUGGAGUCAUGAUGAUGUUUGAAGACAUGGCAUUUGGUGGUAAUCUUGAUUCUAAGGUUGUGGUGCUUACGGAGAGAGACAUGUCGCCUGAAAAUGAACCUGAUGCGACUGUGAAAGACGACUUUUCUGAUGAAGAAGUUGAUGUGGACGAGCUUGAGAAAAGGAUGUGGAGGGACCGUAUGCUCUUGAAGAAACUGAAAGAACAGAACAAGGGGAAGGAAGAUCGGGUGGUUGACACUGCAAAGCAACGCCAGUCCCAGGAGCAUGCUCGAAGGAAAAAGAUGUCGCGUGCUCAGGAUGGGAUCUUGAAAUAUAUGUUGAAGAUGAUGGAAGUUUGUAAGGCUCAGGGGUUUGUUUAUGGGAUUAUACCUGAAAAGGGGAAGCCUGUAAGUGGUGCAUCCGACAACCUUCGUGCAUGGUGGAAGGAGAAAGUUAGGUUCGACAGAAAUGCGCCUGUUGCAAUUGCUAAGUAUCAGGCUGAUCAUGCCAUCCCGGGGAGGAAUGAUGACUCUAACACGGUUAUUAACACUCCACACACCUUGCAUGAGCUUCAAGACACCACUCUUGGUUCACUUCUAUCAGCUUUGAUGCAACACUGUGAUCCACCACAGAGGAGAUUCCCAUUGGAGAAGGGCAUUGCACCACCAUGGUGGCCCACAUCUAUGGAAGAUUGGUGGGCUCGGUCUGGCUUGCCGAUGGAUCAAGGUCCUCCUCCAUACAAGAAACCUCAUGACCUGAAGAAAGCAUGGAAGGUCAGUGUCCUCACUGCUGUCAUCAAACAUUUGUCACCUGAUAUUUCCAAGAUUCGCAAGUUGGUAAGGCAGUCCAAAUGUUUACAAGACAAAAUGACUGCAAAAGAAAGCGCAACUUGGUUAGCUGUUGUUAACCAGGAAGAGGCCUUAUACCGGAAGCUUUAUCCAGGCAGUUUUCCGCUAAUUCCCUCAGUUGGCGGAUCUUCAUCAUUCUCCAUCAGUGACAACAAUGAUUAUGAUGUUGAAGUGGCCGAAGAUGAACUUAACAUUGACGAGCAAAAGUGCAAGCCUGAGGAUGUAAAUCCGUUCAGUGUGGGAACAAGGGAGACAAAGGAAAGGCUAGUGAUCCAGCCCCUACCAGCAAUAAAGGAGGAGCUUAUCGGUUUGAAUGUCAGUGGAAAGAGAAAGCCAUCUGAAGAUCCAGAGAUGAUGAUGAAACAAAUGGUAUUUACCUGCGAGUACCCUCAGUGCCCAUACAACAAUUAUCGACUCGGAUUUCUGGACAUGACCUCAAGGAACAACCACCAAUCAAGUUGCCAACAUCGAAGUAUUUUGCCGGGGAUCUCAACUGCCUCUAACAGUGAUAGAGAAAAAUCACCACCAAGUGUAUUCUCAAUGUCCUUUGGGCAGCCCAAGCCUUUGUGCUUACAGCAGAGUGCAACCUUACCAUCAUCCUAUAAUCAUUCUAGAAUUGAACUUCCAGAAGAUGGCCAGAAGAUGAUUACCGAGCUUAUGUCGUUCUAUGAUGCGUAUAAACUAAAUUACAACAAUAGUAGUUCUGAUGAUGCUAAUCUUGGUAUGGUUAUUGGUGGGCAAAAUGUUUAUCAGCCGAAAAUUGAAGAGAAUGGAAAUUAUUGUGAGCAUGGGGGUUUAGUGGCAGGUAAUAUCUUCGAGGACACCAGUACAUCAUUUAACCAAACCAUGAUCUCGUUGGAGGAAUGUCAGACUGAUCAUUCUAAGGUAUUUGAUCAACCAUUUGAGGCCAGUCAGACUGAUAUUACUGCAGACUUCAGAGAUGCGUCUCCUUUCAAUUUCUCUUUUGUUGAUUAUAAUGAGAUCUUACCUAGAGGAACUGUGGAAGCUCUGUCCAAACAGGACGCUCCAAUUUGGUAUGCGUGAAGAGUGGCCUAAUUACUCUCCGGUCUUCAAGUGCCUCCACAGUAAGGUUUAGAGUUGUGUGUAUAGUGUUUAGCGAAAGUUGUAUUGCCUCCGCAGUAAGGAAUGAGAUUUUUAAGUUGAAAUGACAGAGUUAGUUCUACAAAGUGGAGAAUGGAUAUUACUCCAUCCGUAAAGCAUUCCAUGUGGAGAGCUGCACAAGCCAUUCUACCUACCAACAUGAGGAUGGCAGCUAUCCUACCCUACAUAAAUACAACUUGUAAUAUGUGUAAUGAGGGUCAAGAGGCCUUAACUCGUCUCUUUUUUGAUUGUAAAGUGUGUAUGCAUUUCAAUUUAGAUAAACAAUUUGUUACAAAUGGCACUAAUACCUUUGAUGAGUGGCUGAACGACUGUGUUGAACACCA